rnacentral:rRNA from 1 species
UACGGGGGGGGCAAGCGUUGUUCGGAAUUACUGGGCGUAAAGGGCUCGUAGGCGGCCAACUAAGGCAGACGUGAAAUCCCUCGGCUUAACCGGGGAACUGCGUCUGAUACUGGAUGGCUUGAGGUUGGGAGAGGGAUGCGGAAUUCCAGGUGUAGCGGUGAAAUGCGUAGAUAUCUGGAGGAACACCGGUGGCGAAGGCGGCAUCCUGGACCAAUUCUGACGCUGAGGAGCGAAAGCCAGGGGAGCAAACGGG